UGACCCGUCUUGAAACACGGACCAAGGAGUCUAACAAGUACGCGAGUCACUCGGUCUUGUUCAGGCCAGAGAGGCGCAAUGAAAGUAAAGUUGAUUGUGUUACGAUCUUUGUCGGUCACAUUGCUUUAGUGGUGUGAAGGCAGAGCGCAGUAACAGCCCGCCAAUUUUGCCUUAUGACAAUUUGGCGGAGUUGUAGCGUAUUCGUUGGUACCCGAAAGAUGGUGAACUAUGCCUGGGCAAGACGAAGCCAGAGGAAACUCUGGUGGAGGUCUGUAGCGAUUCUGACGUGCAAAUCGAUCGUCAGACCUGGGUAUAGGGGCGAAAGACUAAUCGAACCAUCUAGUAGCUGGUUCCCUCUGAAGUUUCCCUCAGGAUAGCAGACGCUCGAAUUUGAAUUCAGUCUCAUCCGGUAAAGCGAAUGAUUAGAGGCAUUGGGGUCGAAACGGCCUCAACCUAUUCUCAAACUUUAAAUGGGUGAGAAGUUUGACUUGUUUAAUAUGUGUGUGCGCCUCGUGUGCAUUACACUAAAGCCAAGCUUUGGAUGUAUGAGUGCCUAGUGGGCCAUUUUUGGUAAGCAGAACUGGCGCUGUGGG
rnacentral:rRNA from 1 species